rnacentral:rRNA from 1 species
AACGAACGCUGGCGGCAGGCUUCAUACAUGCAAGUCGAGCGGAAAGGCCCUUCGGGGUACUCGAGCGGCGAACGGGUGAGUAACACGUGGAUAAUCUGCCUUUCGGUGGGGGACGAACGGCUGGAAACGGCCGCUAAUACCGCAUAUCUUUGUUUCGCGCUGGCGAGAUAAAGAAAGGAGCUAUUGCUCCGCCGAGAGAUGACGUCCGCCG